rnacentral:rRNA from 1 species
GAUGAACGCUAGCGGCAGGCCUAACACAUGCAAGUCGAGGGGCAUCGCGGUGCAGCAAUGCACUGGCGGCGACCGGCGUACGGGUGCGUAACGCGUAUGCAACCUGCCCCGCACCGGGGGAUAGCCCGCCGAAAGGCGGAUUAAUACCCCAUGGUCCCGGGGGCCCGCAUGGGCAUCCGGGUAAAGCCUUGGCGGUGCGGGAUGGGCAUGCGUGCCAUUAGCUGGCUGGUGGGGUAACGGCCCACCAGGGCAACGAUGGCUAGGGGGUCUGAGAGGAUGGUCCCCCACACUGGUACUGAGACACGGACCAGACUCCUACGGGAGGCAGCAGUGAGGAAUAUUGGUCAAUGGGCGGAAGCCUGAACCAGCCAUGCCGCGUGCGGGAUGAAGGCCCUACGGGUUGUAAACCGCUUUUCCCCGGGAAGAAUAAGCCCCCCGCGGGGGGUGAUGCCGGUACCGGGGAAUAAGGAUCGGCUAACUCCGUG